rnacentral:misc_RNA from 1 species
GAUGAAGAACGUAGUGAAAUGCGAUACUUGGUGUGAAUUGCAGAAUCCCGCGAAUCAUCGAGUUUUUGAACGCAAGUUGCGCCCGAAGCCAUUCGGCCGAGGGCACGUCUGCCUGGGUGUCACGCAUCGUUGCCCCCCCAAACUCCGGUUCGGGCGGGGCGGAAGUUGGCCUCCCGUGCGUGCCUGCGCGCGCGGUUAGCCCAAAAGCGAGUCCUCGGCGACGAGCGCCACGACAAUCGGUGGUUUUUUUACCCUCGUUCCUCGUCGUGCGUGCCCCGUCGCCCGAACGCGCUCUUGCGACCCUCACGCGUCGCCUCGGCGGCGCUCCCAACGCGACCCCAGGUCAGGCGGGACUACCCGCUGAGUUUAAGCAUAUCAAUAAGCGGAGGA